rnacentral:rRNA from 1 species
AUGAACGCUGGCGGCGUGCUUAACACAUGCAAGUCGAACGAGAAGUGAAGACGGAAACCUUCGGGCGGAAGGCUUUAUUUCGAGUGGCGGACGGGUGAGUAACGCGUGGGUAACCUGCCUCAUACAGGGGGAUAACAGUUGGAAACGACUGUUAAUACCGCAUAAGACCACAGCACCGCAUGGUGCGGGGGUAAAAACUCCGGUGGUAUGAGAUGGACCCGCGUUCGAUUAGCCAGUUGGCGGGGUAACGGCCCACCAAAGCGACGAUCGAUAGCCGAUCUGAGAGGAUGACCGGCCACAUUGGGACUGAGACACGGCCCAAACUCCUACGGGAGGCAGCAGUGGGGAAUAUUGCACAAUGGGGGAAACCCUGAUGCAGCGACGCCGCGUGAGUGAAGAAGUAUUUCGGUAUGUAAAGCUCUAUCAGCAGGGAAGAAAAUGACGGUACCUGAGGAAGAAGCCCCGGCUAACUACGUG